UAAGGGCAUACAUUUCUUCCUCUUUUCCCCCCCUUUACUUCUUGACUGACGCUGCUGGAUACCUGGCCUCUAGUCAUGCUGUCACCAAGCUGAAGAAAAACCCACUGUGGCUGCUGGUUCUGAAUCGCAGAAAUCAGAUGAGUCCAGGUGUCCAUGGCAGAGUGAAUGGACCAGAGGCGAGACAGUGGCGAGAGAAGUUCUGAUAAGCAGAGUACAGGAAUGGCUUCCCUCCGGAAUGGCCGGAUUGGCAGCCCGAGGCUGUGUGUGACCGCGUCCCUCCACGUGACCCGGUGUGCAAGAGGGUCAUCGAGAUGAGAAGGAAGGGCCGGGGGGCAUGGUGGGACUACCUGACCAACCCCCACUUCCUCCACCACAAGAACAACAAAGUGCUCACAGGUUUGUUGAGUGUCACUAAGAGGUGACGUGGUGAUGACCUCCGCACUUGGGUUAGGUUCACCUCUCUUGGAGGUGCCCUGAGUAGAGAUUCGUAUCCCCAGCUCAGCUCAGCUCUCGGGAGAAAGGCUGCUUUGGCACCAGUUGGAAGCAUUUAUGUCCAGGUGUCCUGACGUCGGCAGGGGUCACGUACUGACAAGAUAUUACACCCGUUCGGGCUUAUAAAAAGAGGCAGAGCUGAUCCUCUCCCCACUCUCCAUUUUUUUUUAGGGAAGGGGGGGGUAAAAUCAUAUGGUUUAUGAAAACAGAGUCUAGGGGCGCCUGGCCGGCUCAGUCAGUGGAGCGUGCCUCUUGAUCUCAGGGCUUGCAGGUUUGAGCCCCAUGCUGGGGAUUGGAAGAGAUUACUUAACAAUAACAUUUUAAAAAACAAAUAAACAGAAUCUACUUAUUUGGUGAAGAACAACAGUUUGAGAAAUGGGCAGAUGGGGGCUCAUUUUCGGAGAGCAAGAAUAGUAGCAUUUGUCCAGUCGGGUUCUAAGAGGGCCUCGAUCUCCGUGAGCUCCUUUCAUCACUACUCAGUCCUGUCAAGUAGGUGUUAGAUCCUCAUUUUACGGAACAGUUAACUGCAGGUCUUAGGUGGUUGGUUUCGUGGCAC
rnacentral:lncRNA from 1 species